rnacentral:rRNA from 1 species
AUUGAACGCUGGCGGCAGGCUUAACACAUGCAAGUCGAGCGAGCGGCGGACGGGUGAGUAAUGUCUGGGAAACUGCCUGAUGGAGGGGGAUAACUACUGGAAACGGUAGCUAAUACCGCAUACCAUCAGAUGUGCCCAGAUGGGAUUAGCUAGUUGGUGGGGUAAUGGCUCACCUAGGCGACGCUCCCUAGCUGGUCUGAGAGGAUGACCACCAACACUGGAACGGGGACACGGUCCGGAGUCCGACGGGAGGAAGCAGUGGGGAAUAUUGCACAAUGGGCGCAAGCCUGAUGCAGCCAGGCCGCGUGUGUGAAGAAGGCCUUCGGGUUGUAAAGCAAUUUCAGCGAGGAGGCGUUACUCGCAGAAGAAGCACCGGCUAACUCCGUGCCAGCCGGCGCGGUAAUUC